rnacentral:rRNA from 1 species
AAGACCUCAAAUCAGGUGGGACUACCUGCUGAACUUAAGCAUAUCAAUAAGCAGAGGAAAAGAAACUAACAAGGAUUCCCCCAGUAACGGCGAGUGAAGAGGGAAAAGUCCAAAUUUGUAAUCAGGCUCCUUUUAUUGGGGGUCUGAGUUGUAAUUUUAAGACCUGUUUUCAGUGCUGGACCAUGUAAAAGUCUGCUUAAAUGCAGCAUCAGAGAAGGUGACAAUCCUGUUUGUGAUGUGGACUCCCAGUGCUUUUAUGAUACAGUGUUCUAAGAGUCA